rnacentral:rRNA from 1 species
AGCGUACACGGUGGAUGCCCUGGCAGUCAGAGGCGAUGAAGGACGUGCUAAUCUGCGAUAAGCGUCGGUGAGGUGAUAUGAACCGUUAUAACCGGCGAUUUCCGAAUGGGGAAACCCAGUGUGUUUCGACACACUAUCAUUAACUGAAUCCAUAGGUUAAUGAGGCGAACCGGGGGAACUGAAACAUCUAAGUACCCCGAGGAAAAGAAAUCAACCGAGAUUCCCCCAGUAGCGGCGAGCGAACGGGGAGGAGCCCAGAGCCUGAAUCAGUGUGUGUGUUAGUGGAAGCGUCUGGAAAGGCGUGCGAUACAGGGUGACAGCCCCGUACACAAAAAUGCACAUAUUGUGAGCUCGAUGAGUAGGGCGGGACACGUGGUAUCCUGUCUGAAUAUGGGGGGACCAUCCUCCAAGGCUAAAUACUCCUGACUGACCGAUAGUGAACCAGUACCGUGAGGGAAAGGCGAAAAGAACCCCGGCGAGGGGAGUGAAAAAGAACCUGAAACCGUGUACGUACAAGCAGUGGGAGCCUCUUUAUGGGGUGACUGCGUACCUUUUGUAUAAUGGGUCAGCGACUUAUAUUCUGUAGCAAGGUUAACCGAAUAGGGGAGCCGAAGGGAAACCGAGUCUUAACUGGGCGUUAAGUUGCAGGGUAUAGACCCGAAACCCGGUGAUCUAGCCAUGGGCAGGUUGAAGGUUGGGUAACACUAACUGGAGGACCGAACCGACUAAUGUUGAAAAAUUAGCGGAUGACUUGUGGCUGGGGGUGAAAGGCCAAUCAAACCGGGAGAUAGCUGGUUCUCCCCGAAAGCUAUUUAGGUAGCGCCUCGUGAAUUCAUCUCCGGGGGUAGAGCACUGUUUCGGCAAGGGGGUCAUCCCGACUUACCAACCCGAUGCAAACUGCGAAUACCGGAGAAUGUUAUCACGGGAGACACACGGCGGGUGCUAACGUCCGUCGUGAAGAGGGAAACAACCCAGACCGCCAGCUAAGGUCCCAAAGUCAUGGUUAAGUGGGAAACGAUGUGGGAAGGCCCAGACAGCCAGGAUGUUGGCUUAGAAGCAGCCAUCAUUUAAAGAAAGCGUAAUAGCUCACUGGUCGAGUCGGCCUGCGCGGAAGAUGUAACGGGGCUAAACCAUGCACCGAAGCUGCGGCAGCGACACUAUGUGUUGUUGGGUAGGGGAGCGUUCUGUAAGCCUGUGAAGGUGGCCUGUGAGGGUUGCUGGAGGUAUCAGAAGUGCGAAUGCUGACAUAAGUAACGAUAAAGCGGGUGAAAAGCCCGCUCGCCGGAAGACCAAGGGUUCCUGUCCAACGUUAAUCGGGGCAGGGUGAGUCGACCCCUAAGGCGAGGCCGAAAGGCGUAGUCGAUGGGAAACAGGUUAAUAUUCCUGUACUUGGUGUUACUGCGAAGGGGGGACGGAGAAGGCUAUGUUGGCCGGGCGACGGUUGUCCCGGUUUAAGCGUGUAGGCUGGUUUUCCAGGCAAAUCCGGAAAACCAAGGCUGAGGCGUGAUGACGAGGCACUACGGUGCUGAAGCGACAAAUGCCCUGCUUCCAGGAAAAGCCUCUAAGCAUCAGGUAACAUCAAAUCGUACCCCAAACCGACACAGGUGGUCAGGUAGAGAAUACCAAGGCGCUUGAGAGAACUCGGGUGAAGGAACUAGGCAAAAUGGUGCCGUAACUUCGGGAGAAGGCACGCUGAUAUGUAGGUGAAGCGACUUGCUCGUGGAGCUGAAAUCAGUCGAAGAUACCAGCUGGCUGCAACUGUUUAUUAAAAACACAGCACUGUGCAAACACGAAAGUGGACGUAUACGGUGUGACGCCUGCCCGGUGCCGGAAGGUUAAUUGAUGGGGUUAGCGGUAACGCGAAGCUCUUGAUCGAAGCCCCGGUAAACGGCGGCCGUAACUAUAACGGUCCUAAGGUAGCGAAAUUCCUUGUCGGGUAAGUUCCGACCUGCACGAAUGGCGUAAUGAUGGCCAGGCUGUCUCCACCCGAGACUCAGUGAAAUUGAACUCGCUGUGAAGAUGCAGUGUACCCGCGGCAAGACGGAAAGACCCCGUGAACCUUUACUAUAGCUUGACACUGAACAUUGAGCCUUGAUGUGUAGGAUAGGUGGGAGGCUUUGAAGUGUGGACGCCAGUCUGCAUGGAGCCGACCUUGAAAUACCACCCUUUAAUGUUUGAUGUUCUAACGUUGGCCCGUAAUCCGGGUUGCGGACAGUGUCUGGUGGGUAGUUUGACUGGGGCGGUCUCCUCCUAAAGAGUAACGGAGGAGCACGAAGGUUGGCUAAUCCUGGUCGGACAUCAGGAGGUUAGUGCAAUGGCAUAAGCCAGCUUGACUGCGAGCGUGACGGCGCGAGCAGGUGCGAAAGCAGGUCAUAGUGAUCCGGUGGUUCUGAAUGGAAGGGCCAUCGCUCAACGGAUAAAAGGUACUCCGGGGAUAACAGGCUGAUACCGCCCAAGAGUUCAUAUCGACGGCGGUGUUUGGCACCUCGAUGUCGGCUCAUCACAUCCUGGGGCUGAAGUAGGUCCCAAGGGUAUGGCUGUUCGCCAUUUAAAGUGGUACGCGAGCUGGGUUUAGAACGUCGUGAGACAGUUCGGUCCCUAUCUGCCGUGGGCGCUGGAGAACUGAGGGGGGCUGCUCCUAGUACGAGAGGACCGGAGUGGACGCAUCACUGGUGUUCGGGUUGUCAUGCCAAUGGCACUGCCCGGUAGCUAAAUGCGGAAGAGAUAAGUGCUGAAAGCAUCUAAGCACGAAACUUGCCCCGAGAUGAGUUCUCCCUGACUCCUUGA